CCUACGGGGGGCUGCAGUGAGGAAUAUUGGUCAAUGGGCGAGAGCCUGAACCAGCCAAGUCGCGUGAAGGAUGACGGAUCUAUGGUUUGUAAACUUCUUUUAUAUGGGCAUAAAGUGAGGAACGCGUUCCUUUUUGUGUGUACCCUAUGAAUAAGCAUCGGCUAACUCCGUUCCAGCAGCCGCGGUAAUACGGAGGAUGCGAGCGUUAUCCGGAUUUAUUGGGUUUAAAGGGUGCGUAGGUGGUUAAUUAAGUCAGCGGUGAAAGUUUGUGGCUCAACCAUAAAAUUGCCGUUGAAACGUGUUGACUUGAGUAUAUUUGAGGUAUGCGGAAUGCGUGGUGUAGCGGUGAAAUGCAUAGAUAUCACGCAGAACUCCGAUUGCGAAGGUAGCUUACUAAACUAUAACUGACACUGAAGCACGAAAGCGUGGGGAUCGAACAGGAUUAGAUACCCGAGUAGUC
rnacentral:rRNA from 1 species